rnacentral:rRNA from 1 species
UACGUAGGGUGCAAGCGUUGUCCGGAAUUAUUGGGCGUAAAGAGCUCGUAGGCGGUCUGUCGCGUCUGCUGUGAAAAUCCAGGGCUCAACCCUGGACCUGCAGUGGGUACGGGCAGACUAGAGUGCGGUAGGGGAGAUCGGAAUUCCUGGUGUAGCGGUGAAAUGCGCAGAUAUCAGGAGGAACACCGGUGGCGAAGGCGGAUCUCUGGGCCGUAACUGACGCUGAGGAACGAAAGCCAGGGUAGCAAACGGG